GGGUUGUGAGGUUAAGCGACUAAGCGUACACGGUGGAUGCCCUGGCAGUCAGAGGCGAUGAAGGGCGUGCUAAUCUGCGAUAAGCGCCGGUAAGGUGAUAUGAACCGUUAUAACCGGCGAUACCCGAAUGGGGAAACCCAGUGUGAUUCGUCACACUAUCAUUAACUGAAUCCAUAGGUUAAUGAGGCGAACCGGGGGAACUGAAACAUCUAAGUACCCCGAGGAAAAGAAAUCAACCGAGAUUCCCCCAGUAGCGGCGAGCGAACGGGGAGGAGCCCAGAGCCUGAAUCAGCAUGUGUGUUAGUGGAAGCGUCUGGAAAGGCGCGCGAUACAGGGUGACAGCCCCGUACACAAAAGCGCAUGUGCUGUGAGCUCGAUGAGUAGGGCGGGACACGUGGUAUCCUGUCUGAAUAUGGGGGGACCAUCCUCCAAGGCUAAAUACUCCUGACUGACCGAUAGUGAACCAGUACCGUGAGGGAAAGGCGAAAAGAACCCCGGCGAGGGGAGUGAAAAAGAACCUGAAACCGUGUACGUACAAGCAGUGGGAGCACCCUUCGGGGUGUGACUGCGUACCUUUUGUAUAAUGGGUCAGCGACUUAUAUUCUGUAGCAAGGUUAACCGAAUAGGGGAGCCGGAGGGAAACCGAGUCUUAACCGGGCGUUAAGUUGCAGGGUAUAGACCCGAAACCCGGUGAUCUAGCCAUGGGCAGGUUGAAGGUUGGGUAACACUAACUGGAGGACCGAACCGACUAAUGUUGAAAAAUUAGCGGAUGACCUGUGGCUGGGGGUGAAAGGCCAAUCAAACCGGGAGAUAGCUGGUUCUCCCCGAAAGCUAUUUAGGUAGCGCCUCGUGAAUUCAUCUCCGGGGGUAGAGCACUGUUUCGGCUAGGGGGCCAUCCCGGCUUACCAACCCGAUGCAAACUGCGAAUACCGGAGAAUGUUAUCACGGGAGACACACGGCGGGUGCUAACGUCCGUCGUGAAGAGGGAAACAACCCAGACCGCCAGCUAAGGUCCCAAAGUCAUGGUUAAGUGGGAAACGAUGUGGGAAGGCCCAGACAGCCAGGAUGUUGGCUUAGAAGCAGCCAUCAUUUAAAGAAAGCGUAAUAGCUCACUGGUCGAGUCGGCCUGCGCGGAAGAUGUAACGGGGCUAAACCAUGCACCGAAGCUGCGGCAGCGACACUGUGUGUUGUUGGGUAGGGGAGCGUUCUGUAAGCCUGUGAAGGUGGCCUGUGAGGGUUGCUGGAGGUAUCAGAAGUGCGAAUGCUGACAUAAGUAACGAUAAAGCGGGUGAAAAGCCCGCUCGCCGGAAGACCAAGGGUUCCUGUCCAACGUUAAUCGGGGCAGGGUGAGUCGACCCCUAAGGCGAGGCCGAAAGGCGUAGUCGAUGGGAAACGGGUUAAUAUUCCCGUACUUGGUGUUACUGCGAAGGGGGGACGGAGAAGGCUAUGUUGGCCGGGCGACGGUUGUCCCGGUUUAAGCGUGUAGGUGUGUGUUCCAGGUAAAUCCGGUUCACUUUAACACUGAGGCGUGACGACGAGGCACUACGGUGCUGAAGCAACAAAUGCCCUGCUUCCAGGAAAAGCCUCUAAGCAUCAGGUAACAUCAAAUCGUACCCCAAACCGACACAGGUGGUCAGGUAGAGAAUACCAAGGCGCUUGAGAGAACUCGGGUGAAGGAACUAGGCAAAAUGGUGCCGUAACUUCGGGAGAAGGCACGCUGACACGUAGGUGAAGUGAUUUACUCAUGGAGCUGAAGUCAGUCGAAGAUACCAGCUGGCUGCAACUGUUUAUUAAAAACACAGCACUGUGCAAACACGAAAGUGGACGUAUACGGUGUGACGCCUGCCCGGUGCCGGAAGGUUAAUUGAUGGGGUCAGCGCAAGCGAAGCUCCUGAUCGAAGCCCCGGUAAACGGCGGCCGUAACUAUAACGGUCCUAAGGUAGCGAAAUUCCUUGUCGGGUAAGUUCCGACCUGCACGAAUGGCGUAAUGAUGGCCAGGCUGUCUCCACCCGAGACUCAGUGAAAUUGAACUCGCUGUGAAGAUGCAGUGUACCCGCGGCAAGACGGAAAGACCCCGUGAACCUUUACUAUAGCUUGACACUGAACAUUGAGCCUUGAUGUGUAGGAUAGGUGGGAGGCUUUGAAGUGUGGACGCCAGUCUGCAUGGAGCCGACCUUGAAAUACCACCCUUUAAUGUUUGAUGUUCUAACGUGGACCCGUUACCCGGGUUGCGGACAGUGUCUGGUGGGUAGUUUGACUGGGGCGGUCUCCUCCUAAAGAGUAACGGAGGAGCACGAAGGUUGGCUAAUCCUGGUCGGACAUCAGGAGGUUAGUGCAAUGGCAUAAGCCAGCUUGACUGCGAGCGUGACGGCGCGAGCAGGUGCGAAAGCAGGUCAUAGUGAUCCGGUGGUUCUGAAUGGAAGGGCCAUCGCUCAACGGAUAAAAGGUACUCCGGGGAUAACAGGCUGAUACCGCCCAAGAGUUCAUAUCGACGGCGGUGUUUGGCACCUCGAUGUCGGCUCAUCACAUCCUGGGGCUGAAGUAGGUCCCAAGGGUAUGGCUGUUCGCCAUUUAAAGUGGUACGCGAGCUGGGUUUAGAACGUCGUGAGACAGUUCGGUCCCUAUCUGCCGUGGGCGCUGGAGAACUGAGGGGGGCUGCUCCUAGUACGAGAGGACCGGAGUGGACGCAUCACUGGUGUUCGGGUUGUCAUGCCAAUGGCACUGCCCGGUAGCUAAAUGCGGAAGAGAUAAGUGCUGAAAGCAUCUAAGCACGAAACUUGCCCCGAGAUGAGUUCUCCCUGAGACUUAGAGUCUCCUGAAGGAACGUUGAAGACGACGACGUUGAUAGGCCGGGUGUGUAAGCGCAGCGAUGCGUUGAGCUAACCGGUACUAAUGAACCGUGAGGCUUAACCUUACAACGCCGAAG
rnacentral:rRNA from 2 species